UACGUAGGGUGCGAGCGUUAAUCGGAAUUACUGGGCGUAAAGGGCGCGUAGGCGGCCUGCUAAGUCGAACGUGAAAUCCCCGGGCUCAACCCGGGAACUGCGUCCGAUACUGGCAGGCUUGAAUCCGGGAGAGGGAUGCGGAAUUCCAGGUGUAGCGGUGAAAUGCGUAGAUAUCUGGAGGAACACCGGUGGCGAAGGCGGCAUCCUGGACCAACACUGACGCUGAGUGAGCGAAAGCCAGGGGAGCAAACGGG
rnacentral:rRNA from 1 species